rnacentral:rRNA from 1 species
UACGAAGGGUGCUAGCGUUGUUCGGAAUCACUGGGCGUAAAGCGCACGUAGGCGGCUUAGCAAGUCCCAUGUGAAAUCCCACGGCUUAACCGUGGAAGUGCAUGGGAAACUGCUGAGCUUGAGUACUUAAGAGGAUCGCGGAAUUCCCGGUGUAGAGGUGAAAUUCGUAGAUAUCGGGAGGAACACCAGUGGCGAAGGCGGCGAUCUGGGAAGAUACUGACGCUGAGGUGCGAAAGCGUGGGGAGCAAACAGG